AAAUUUCAGACAGAAUGCCUUCGAUGCGUCCUGUACGAAGGUUAGGAGGACCGAGUCCAGAAACCAAACAGGAUGGAAAACCUUUAGCGCCAAUAUUUUCGAUGGCGGCACAAGGUGCGAGCAGUAAAAAAAGAGCCCAAGAAAUGGAGGAAGAAAAGGCCGAAAAAACUAAUACCGACAACUGUGACAAGGUUGAAACUGAUAAUAUAUCCGAAAGUACCCUGUCUACCCCUGCUCCAAGAAAAUACAAAAAGAAAGAUAAAAAAGAAGUUUCAUAUCCGUGCAAAUUUUGUGAGAAAAUAUUUCCCAAGUUGUGGGCCCGCACAUCGCAUAUGAAGAUCCAUAAUGAGAAGGAAACUGAAUGUCUGAUCUGCAACAUGAAGUUCAUCAAUGAAAUAAGACUGAAAAUGCAUAUGAGAAGUCAUCUCGGAAUCAGGAAAUUUAAAUGCGACAUUUGUGGAAAUUUGUAUGGAACAUCUUCACAUCUGGUGUCACAUAAAAGAACACAUACAAAAGAGAAACCCUUUCAGUGUGAUCUCUGUCCAAAAGCGUUCACAGUAAGCAACGCUUUAAGAGUGCACAAAAGAACUCAUACCGGAGAGCGGCCCUACGGUUGCAAGAUCUGUUUCAAAGCUUUCCCUGAAAGCAGUAAACUACGCGUUCAUCUAAGAACACACACCGGAGAGAAGCCAUUUAAAUGUGAAAUCUGCAGUAUGGAGUUCUCACAGAACGGGAAUUUGAGAACUCACAUGAACAAGCACACUGAUCGUGAAACGGCCGAGAAGUUUACCUGUAAUUACUGCGGGAAAGUGUUCACGCAUAAACAGUAUUUAAAGACACACAUUAGAUAUCAUGAAGGUGAUAAACGGCAUGAAUGUAAUAUUUGUAAAAAGAAGUUUGUUACAACUUUUGAGCUGGCCCAGCAUAUAGAUUACCAUUCAGGUGUAAAAAAAUACAAAUGUGAGAUAUGUGGUAAAGAGAUGGCACAGAAGCAACAUUUGAAUAAGCACAUGAAGCAGCAUGAGAAGGGUUUAGGACAGUGCAAUAAAUGCUUCAGAUUUUAUUUUAAACACAAUGAAGCAAGACACAGCUGCAGACCCAAGAAACCAAGUAAAGGAAAACGUGGAAAGGAGAAGUGCGCUGUAGCAACUAACUCGGCAAUGGUCAUUCUCAUUGAAGAGGAUGCCAUAAAACAGGAGGUGGAUAAUGAAAUAGAUUGCCUGUUAGCAGAGUCCAAUCCUAAACUUCAGAUCAAUGCCGAAGUAAAACAAGAGGACCAAAGGUUAUUCGCUGAAUUUCUAACAGAUCCAGAAAAUGGCGUGCUCCGACAAGGUGUGAAGGAAAGAAAAACGCGGGAAACUGCAGCAAGAGAAGGAGAUUAUCAGCAGCUUGUUAUACAACAGGAGAUCACUGAUCAAAUUUGUAGCGAGGACUGAAGAAAUCCUUUGGUAAAGAGAUGAUCAGCUGAAAAAUCAAUUUAUCCUGUUAUCAAUAUCUGCCUGAAAUCAGUAUCAGCCUGAAGUCUGAAAUCGAAAUAAGCUGGUUAAUCAAUUAUGCCUGAAAUCAAUAUUAGCUGAUGAAUUGAUCCAAGUUAUCUACUUUUCUACUGUAUGAGUAUGGUCAAAAUAUCGUGCCUUCAACCAUAAAAGUUUUGUCAUAAUAACGUGCCUUCAACCUUAAAAGCUGUGAAUUGAAAACUGCAUUUAAUAAUAUGAUUCUUUUA
rnacentral:misc_RNA from 1 species